rnacentral:rRNA from 1 species
CAGAGGGGGCAAGCGUUGUUCGGAAUUACUGGGCGUAAAGGGCGCGUAGGCGGCCUGUUAAGUCGAACGUGAAAUCCCCAGGCUCAACCUGGGAACUGCGUCCGAUACUGGCAGGCUUGAAUCCGGGAGAGGGAUGCGGAAUUCCAGGUGUAGCGGUGAAAUGCGUAGACAUCUGGAGGAACACCGGUGGCGAAGGCGGCAUCCUGGACCGGUAUUGACGCUGAGGCGCGAAAGCCAGGGGAGCAAACGGGAUUAGAUACCCCGGUAGUCCUGGCCCUAAACGAUGAAUGCUUGGUGUGGCGGGUAUCGAUCCCUGCCGUGCCGAAGCUAACGCAUUAAGCAUUCCGCCUGGGGAGUACGGUCGCAAGGCUG